rnacentral:rRNA from 1 species
AGUAGACGUUCAGAGUUUGAUCCUGGCUCAGGACGAACGCUGGCGGCGUGCCUAAUACAUGCAAGCCGAACGCACUGACGGAGAACUUGUUCUCUUGACGUGAGUGGCGCACGGGUGAGUAACACGUGGGAAACCUACCCUUCAGCGGGGGAUAACCAUCGGAAACGAUGACUAAUACCGCAUAGACGACAGAACCGCCUGGUUCAAUCGGGAAAGACGGCUUCGGCUGUCACUGAAGGAUGGUCCCGCGCUGCAUUAGCUAGUUGGUAAGGUAACGGCUUACCAAGGCGAUGAUGCAUAGCCGACCUGAGAGGGUGAUCGGCCACAUUGGGACUGAGACACGGCCCAA